GCGCCUGUAGUUCAAUGGUAGAACAAUAGCCUUCCAAGCUAUUAGUGACAGUUCGAUUCUGUUCAGGCGCU
rnacentral:tRNA from 1 species